GCAGCAAACAUUUUGUUACCAAGUUUCCAAAUGUCAGUUUUAGCCUAUAACUAUAUGUCUGUAAGUUAAGCUAACACACGUAACGUUUGUCAUAUCGUUGUCU